AUUGAACGCUGGCGGCAGGCCUAACACAUGCAAGUCGAGCGGAUGAAGGGAGCUUGCUCCUGGAUUCAGCGGCGGACGGGUGAGUAAUGCCUAGGAAUCUGCCUGGUAGUGGGGGAUAACGUCCGGAAACGGGCGCUAAUACCGCAUACGUCCUGAGGGAGAAAGUGGGGGUUCUUCGGACCUCACGCUAUCAGAUGAGCCUAGGUCGGAUUAGCUAGUUGGUGGGGUAAAGGCCUACCAAGGCGACGAUCCGUAACUGGUCUGAGAGGAUGAUCAGUCACACUGGAACUGAGACACGGUCCAGACUCCUACGGGAGGCAGCAGUGGGGAAUAUUGGACAAUGGGCGAAAGCCUGAUCCAGCCAUGCCGCGUGUGUGAAGAAGGUCUUCGGAUUGUAAAGCACUUUAAGUUGGGAGGAAGGGCAGUAAGUUAAUACCUUGCUGUUUUGACGUUACCAACAGAAUAAGCACCGGCUAACUUCGUG
rnacentral:rRNA from 1 species